rnacentral:rRNA from 1 species
UACGUAGGGAGCAAGCGUUAUCCGGAUUUACUGGGUCUAAAGGGUGUGUAGGCGGACUAUUAAGUCAGGGGUGAAAUCCCGAGGCUCAACCUCGGAACUGCCUUUGAUACUAUUAGUCUUGAAUGUUGUUGAGGUGGGCGGAACGGGUCAUGUAGCGGUGAAAUGCAUAGAUAUGACCCGGAACACCGAUUGCGAAGGCAGCCCGCUAAGCAACUAUUGACGCUGAGGCACGAAAGCGUGGGGAUCAAACAGG